GGCUGGGCCUCACGCGGCGUAAACCCGCGAACCCCGCCAGAACCGGAAGGUAGCAACGGUAAGCGAGCCAUUACGGGCGCCGUGAGCUACCUAGCUCUC
rnacentral:SRP_RNA from 1 species